rnacentral:rRNA from 1 species
CCUACGGGCGGCAGCAGUAGGGAAUCUUUCACAAUGGGCGAAAGCCUGAUGGAGCAACGCCGCGUGCAGGAUGAAGGCCUUCGGGUUGUAAACCGCUUUUAUCAGCGAGGAAUAUGACGGUAACUGAUGAAUAAGGAUCGGCUAACUACGUGCCAGCAGCCGCGGUCAUACGUAGGAGCCGAGCAUUAUCCGGAGUGACUGGGUGUAAAGAGUUGCGUAGGUGGCAUACUAAGUAGCUAGGGAAAUCUGGUGGCUCAACCAUUCAGACUAUUAGCUAAACUGUUAAGCUCGAGACCGUUAGGGGUAACUGGAAUUUCUAGUGUAGGAGUGAAAUGCGUAGAUAUUAGAAGGAACACCAGUAGCGUAGGCAGGUUACUGGAACGGUUCUGACACUAAGGCACGAAAGCGUAGGGAGCAAACGGGAUUAGAUACCCUGGUAGUC